UACGGGGGGAGCAAGCGUUGUUCGGAUUUACUGGGCGUAAAGGGCGCGUAGGCGGCCACCGCAAGUCGAUUGUGAAAUCUCCGGGCUUAACCCGGAAAGGUCAACCGAUACUGCGGGGCUAGAGUGCAGAAGAGGCAACUGGAAUUCUCGGUGUAGCGGUGAAAUGCGUAGAUAUCGAGAGGAACACCGGUGGCGAAGGCGGGUCUCUGGGCAAUUCCUGACGCUGAGGCGCGAAAGCGUGGGGAGCAAACGGG
rnacentral:rRNA from 1 species